AAUCUACCCAUGAGUGGGGGACAACCCGGGGAAACUCGGGCUAAUACCGCAUACGCCCUACGGGGUAAAGCAGGGGACCUUCGGGCCUUGCGCUGAUGGAUGUGCUCCCGUCGGAUUAGCUUGUUGGUGAGGUAAAGGCUCACCAAGGCGACGAUCCGUAGCUGGUCUGACAGGAAGAUCAGCCACACCGGGACUGAGACACGGCCCGGACUCCUACGGGAGGCAGCAGUGGGGAAUCUUGGACAAUGGGGGCAACCCUGAUCCAGCCAUGCCGCGUGUGUGAAGAAGGCCUUCGGGUUGUAAAGCACUUUCAGCAGGGAGGAAGGCUUACCCCUAAUACGGGUGAGUACUUGACGUUACCUGCAGAAGAAGCACCGGCUAAUUUCGUGCCAGCAGCCGCGGUAAUACGAAAGGUGCAAGCGUUAAUCGGAAUUACUGGGCGUAAAGCGCGCGUAGGCGGUGUGUUAAGUCGGAUGUGAAAGCCCAGGGCUCAACCUUGGAAUUGCAUCCGAUACUGGCACGCUAGAGUGCAGUAGAGGGAGGUGGAAUUUCCGGUGUAGCGGUGAAAUGCGUAGAGAUCGGAAGGAACACCAGUGGCGAAGGCGGCCUCCUGGACUGACACUGACGCUGAGGUGCGAAAGCGUGGGGA
rnacentral:rRNA from 1 species